AAAACGGAGAGUUUGAUCCUGGCUCAGGAUGAACGCUGGCGGUAUGCUUAACACAUGCAAGUCGAACGGUCUCUUCGGAGAUAGUGGCGGA
rnacentral:rRNA from 1 species